rnacentral:rRNA from 1 species
AAAUGAAUUGACGGGGACCCGCACAAGCAGCGGAGCAUGUGGUUUAAUUCGAAGCAACGCGAAGAACCUUACCAAGACUUGACAUCGUAUGACCGCCAUAGAGAUAUGGUUUUCCCUUCGGGGACAUAUAGACAGGUGGUGCAUGGUUGUCGUCAGCUCGUGUCGUGAGAUGUUGGGUUAAGUCCCGCAACGAGCGCAACCCUCAUAAAUAGUUGCCAAUAUUAAGUUAGGAACUCUAUUUAGACUGCCGUGGAUAACACGGAGGAAGGUGGGGAUGACGUCAAAUCAUCAUGCCCCUUAUGUCUUGGGCUACACACGUGCUACAAUGGCUAUUACAAAGAGUUGCCAGCCGGUAACGGUGAGCGAAUCUCAUAAAGAUAGUCUCAGUUCGGAUUGUGGGCUGCAACCCGCCCACAUGAAGUCGGAGUUGCUAGUAAUCCCGAAUCAGAAUGUCGGGGUGAAUGCGUUCCCGGGUCUUGUACACACCGCCCGU